rnacentral:tRNA from 1 species
GGCUUGUUGGUCUAUGGGUAUGAUUCUCGCUUAGGGUCCGAGAGGUCCUGAGUUUAAUUCCCGGACGAGCCC